rnacentral:tRNA from 1 species
GGUAAAGUGGCCGAGCAGGUGGCGGGUUGUAGCCCCGAAGACGGAGGUUUGAGUCCUUCCCUUACCA